CCUACGGGCGGCAGCAGUGGGGAAUAUGGGACAAUGGGCGAAAGCCUGAUCCAGCCAUGCCGCGUGUGUGAAGAAGGCCUUCGGGUUGUAAAGCACUUUCAGUGGGGAAGAAAGCCUUGGGGCUAAUACCCUCGAGGAAGGACAUCACCCACAGAAGAAGCACCGGCUAACUCCGUGCCAGCAGCCGCGGUAAUACGGAGGGUGCGAGCGUUAAUCGGAAUUACUGGGCGUAAAGCGCGCGUAGGCGGUCUGAUAAGCCGGUUGUGAAAGCCCCGGGCUCAACCUGGGAACGGCAUCCGGAACUGUCAGGCUAGAGUGCAGGAGAGGAAGGUAGAAUUCCCGGUGUAGCGGUGAAAUGCGUAGAGAUCGGGAGGAAUACCAGUGGCGAAGGCGGCCUUCUGGACUGACACUGACGCUGAGGUGCGAAAGCGUGGGUAGCAAACAGGAUUAGAUACCCCUGUAGUC
rnacentral:rRNA from 1 species